rnacentral:sRNA from 1 species
AAUCGUCAGACGUCACCCGACGCACACCACGGCAGGAGCGGGGGACCCAGGUAAGUCGCCGCGGACGUCUCGUCCGCGGCUUGGGGUGAAGCCGUGCCACAGCACGGCCGGGCGACUCCGGCCCGAACCCGACAGCUCACCUCGCAGGCGUGGGAGAGGACCA